rnacentral:rRNA from 1 species
CGUAGGGGGCAAGCGUUGUCCGGAUUCAUUGGGCGUAAAGCGCGUGUAGGCGGCCAGGUAGGUCCGACGUGAAAACUGGAGGCUCAACCUCCAGCUGUCGUUGGAAACCAUCUGGCUAGAGUCCGGAAGAGGAGAGUGGAAUUCCUGGUGUAGCGGUGAAAUGCGCAGAUAUCAGGAAGAACACCAAUGGCGAAGGCAGCUCUCUGGGACGGUACUGACGCUGAGACGCGAAAGCGUGGGGAGCGAACAGGAUUAGAUACCCUGGUAGCCCACGCCGUAAACGAUGGGCGCUAGGUGUGGGCGGUGUCGACUCCGUCCGUGCCGAAGCUAACGCAUUAAGCGCCCCGCCUGGGGAGUACGGCCGCAAGGCUA